ACGAUGUGGUGUCGCUGGUCCCCAUGUCGUAGGACAUUGCGGGUAAAAAUGGAAAUGAUGAAAAGCAUUGUUAAUGGUUAGUAAAGAAAGUACUAACACAUGCAAAGAGGUUCUCUCUGCGGUCUCUCAUAAUGACGCGUAAUGACGCGUAAUGACCGAACGCCAAAGCCGAAGUCUCUGAACUGGCACAUCUAUAUACUGUAUGGUUAGUGCAUACACCAAAUUCUGUUUUUAUACGGUAGAUUGGGUCCUGAAAAACCUGUGUAAAAAACCGUGCAAAAAAAGGCAUUGAUCGUAUGCAAUAAUAGGGAAAAAAUUUGAUAACGUUGGAACAAUGAAAAACAAUGAAGUGCAAAAUAAAGUUCGCGCCUAGAUAUUUUUCAAGUCGUAAUUCGUAAAAAAAAAGAAAAAACAACAGACACAAUAAAAAAUGAAGAGACCAGCAAUUGGUGGUAAUAAGUAAACAUUUGUACAUGGCGCACAAAAGCGGAUAAAACUGGGAAAUCUUCUGGAGAUUGCUGGAAUUCCAAAAAGAGCAGCAGAAGUAACAGGAUGAGCACCAGGAAACAAAGCGGGAGAUACUACAGUAAAUUGCGAGCAGCCAAGGCCAAACCGACUUCCAGACCGAGCUGCUGCAGUUUUUAAAGGAGUUCAAAGGGUAACGUUUAUUGUACAUGUAUUGAUUGUUUUAAUAUAGCAAAUAAAAUAGCUAAUAUACUA